CAGCGACGCAGUUGGGGAGGAGGGCGUGGCUUCCGGCGUUUGGCUGGGCCUCUGUCUCGGGCUCGGGCCGGAGCCUGGGAUCCAUCUCUCCUCUUCCGCGUGUUGCCCCUCGGGAGCCCUCGGUGACUUUGUCACAGCCUCUGUUGCCGUGAGAUCUGCAGGUACUGGAAGAUGCAUAGCUAAGAUGCCAGGACAUCCUGGAAACUGGGAAAUGAUGAAAACACCUUCAUUGUCAUGUGGAAAUGAUUCCUGACAGUACGCCCUGAGAGAUGACCAAAAGAAAGGCAGUUGGUUUUUGUGCUCUGGCUUCUGAGAUUUGGCCUAAGUGUCUCUAGUGAGAUACAUUAGGGGAGGUGAGAACAUGUGGUUGCCUGUGAGUCUCGACCAGUGCUUUUCAGUUUGUCUGCGUCUUGUUAUUGGGCCACAAGAACACACAGCCAGACCCAGUUUGGUCCAGGAACAACAUUUGGCAAGCUAGCCAAGAGUCCCUGAAAUGGUGCUGCACUCAGUGACCCGUGAUUGUGGCGAGAUGAUUAUUUGGAGACUCCCAGAAGCUGCUGGAUAAGAUAGACCUGGGGAUUCUCCCAGGGGCUAUCCCAUGUACAAAAACCACAUGUCCCUCUCACCACUGGGGAGGAAUGGUGAUCAGGCAGGAGCAGAUGCACUCAUAGGACAUUCUUGCAUUAAGACCAUUUGGCAGCCUGUGGGUACAAGGUCUCAAGCAAAAGGGUACAGGGGUACAGAUAUGCAAACAAACUGUGGGAUACUUAGGAUUUUUGUUACAGAGAGAAACCAGAGCCCUGACAGUGGAGAGGCAAAAUGCAGUUGCCUCUAUCACGACACCCACAACCAGAAAGCAGCUAAGGGGCUUCCUGGGAAUGGCAGGGUUCUGUAGAACCUGGAUUUCCAAUUAUGGCUGAUGGUAAAGCUGCUAUAUGAACUGUUAAAAGGGGCCAACCACAACCCCUUUAAAUGCAUUGGAGCUGAAACACCAGAAUGCGUUUGAACAACUAAAGCUUAAGAUGACAUCUGCCCCAUCUCUGGGGCUGCCAAAUCCUCAUAAACCCUUGCAACUUUAUGUGCAUGAAAGACUGGGUCUGGCACUCGGGAUCCUAACACAAAAACUGAAAGAAAUAUUGCAACCAGUGGCUUAUUUGUCAAAAGGCUCGAUACCGUGGCAAGGGGCUGGACUGGACCCCUUGUCUCAAAGCAGUAGCUGCCACCUGUUUGUUGCUCAAGGGAGCUAAGAAGCUGACUUUGGGUCAGCCCAUCAUGAUUUAUGUGCCCCAUCAAACCUGGUGUUAUUUGAGCAGAAGGGUGGCUACUGGCUGACAGGUUGGCAGAUUAGGCUGAUAUCAGGCCAUCCUGCUUGAUAAUCCUGCAGUAAAACUGCAGACCACUGGAGCCUCAAACCCCGCCAUUUUGCCGCCACCUACUGGGGAACAAAGGAACUAGUACACAACUGCCUAGAGGUUAUCAUCAAGUAUUUUCUGGUCUCCCAGAUCUAAAGGAUGCAGCCCUCCCCUGUGCACACUGGUUGCUGUUCAUGGAUGGAAGCAGCUUAGUCACCAAGAAAGGAGAAAUGCUGCCUAUGCUGUAGUAACUCUCUUGGAGAGAGAGAGUAGCAGAGGCAAGAACACUCCAGACAGGGACUUCUGCGGAAAAGGCCGAGUUAGUUGCUUUUACCAGAGCCUUGCAACUGUCCCAAGGUGAGAGCACCAAUAUCUACGCUGAUUCCAAAUAGUCCUUCAUGAUAAUCCAUGCACACGGAGCUAUUUGGAAGGAAAGGGAACUGCUAAAAGCUGAUAAUACUGAAAUUUAAUAUGCUAAGCAAGUGUUGGAGCUGUUGGAGGCAGUAAAAGCUUCGAGAAAAAUAGCUGCUGUGCAUUGUCCAGGCCAUAAGCGCAGCAAUUUCAAACCAGCUAGGGGAAACACCGUCACCUACCGCACAGCCAGGCAUCUAGCCAGCACCAGUGCCAAGGUCCAGGCACCUUUCAUUUCCCAAGUAGAUUUGGCAGCUUUCAAACCCCAGUAUAGUUUGAGGAUGAAAAGAGUGCCAAAGACAAAGGGUUUAUUCAAGACAAGGAAGGCUGGAAAGUAAAUAACGAGGGCCUGGUUUGGGUGCCAGCACAGCUUCCUUCAACCCAAUGCUAAAAUAUAUUCAUGAUAGCACGCAUUUUGGAUGAGAUGCCUCGUUAACUUUUGUGCAAAAAAUAUAUGAAGGAAAAGAGACUGAAGGCUCACUUGAAAAGUAUAAUACAACAUUGCCAUCUUUGCACUGAAAAUGAGACCAAUAACUAUAGCAGAGGACAACCCAGACAACAGGCAAGAGGGAAGCAUCUACUAGAAAAUUGGCAGAUUGGCUUUACUCAAAUGCCACUUGCCUUUGGAGGGUACAAAUACCUCUUAGUUGUAGUGGACACUCUCAGGCUGGGUGGAAGCAUACCUAUAUCAUACCGAGUGGCCAACAGAGGUAGUUAAAGUGCAGCUAAAGAACAUCAUACCCCGAUAUGGGCUCCCUGACAUUAUUCAUAGUGAAAAUGGGCCUUCAUUUACCUUGGAAAUAACCCAACAAGUAAGCAAAACGCUAGAAAUAAAAUGGAAGCUGCACUCGGCAUGGAAGCCUCAAUCCUCUGGACAGACUGAAAGAAUUCAUCAUACUUUAAAGACAACUCUUGCUAAGCUAUGUCAGGAAACUCAGUUAAAAUGGAUUCAGGUACUUGGGAUUGCACUGCUCUGGGUAAGAAUAACCCCCAGAAAUGGGAUUAAAUUAAGUCCUUAUGAAAUUAUUUUUGAGAGGCCCUUUGUAGCCUUGUCCUGGGUUGCUAGAGUGUCACUGGAUACAGAAUUAGCUGUUAGAACUUACGUCACUCAGGAUGAACUCUUAACCAUUUGCAUAAGUUUGCUUCUUAGAGGAAUGUCACAGAUUUUGUAGGAGAUUGCCACCCAUUUCAGCCUUGUGAUCAAGUGCUGCUGAAGGAAUGGAGAGAAGCUGAUCCUGCCCAACAGCUACAGGAAAAAUGGAAAGGGCCCUAUGACGUGCUGUUGACUAAUGACUUGGCACUGAAGCUGACAGGCAUCAAAUCCUGGGUUCAUCAUAGGUGAGUGAAGAAAUUCCAGUCAACCGGGGCCUCCACAACGGAAACAUCUGCCGCCACUCAAUGGGAAAUGGAACCCCUGGAGGACUUAAAGUUCCUAUUCAGAAAAUGAUACAGAUUUCUUUUAUGCUAUGCUUCCUUUUACACCUCUUACUAUUGCAUCACACACUUAUAACCCCUGUCUACAAUGGGCACAGGACUAUGCAGACAGCCUCCAGCAGGAUUCCUGUUGGGUCUGUGGCCUGUAACCACUUUCUAGCACCACAGGUCAGCCUUGGUGGGUCUCACCUGUGCAAGGAAAAGACUAGGCAUACCUACAAACCUUUCUAGGAAAUUUAAAAACUGCAUUGGGUUGCAAAUGACUGGGAUAACUAAAGCAAGUGUGUCAGAAUGGCCCACAAAUGAGACUUUAAGUGAGCCAGGACACAAAAAGCCAUUCUCUUUAAUAGAACAAGGGUCCAAGUUAUAGGAUUAGCUACUCUUUUAUUAGAUUCAAAAGUGCCCAUUCAAACCUUCAAGCCCCAAAAUGUUUGAUACAAGAAUGACUUUCCCCAAAUUUGGGAUGGUUUCAUUUGGUUAACUGCUUUUACUGGACAUUUGAGACAAAUAGCCUCCUUGUUCUUUGAGCAAUGAAAACAUUUCCUUGACCAUUGGCCUAAUGCAACUCAGGUUAUAGGAUGGAUUCCCUCUGAGUGGUACCAAUAUAUUAUAGUACUCCAGCAGAGGGAUAUGUUCACCACAGAUUGGUCUCAAAUGGCCUGGCCUAAAUUGGUAUCCUCCCAGCACAACUCAGUGGCUUUGCAGCACCAACCUAUGGCCAUGGCUUCCCUUGGGCUGGUAGGGAUGUUGCACUCUAGGCUUCCCAUAGGCAUAAAGUCAUUAGGUAAAAACCAUUCAAAAUCUGCCCAAUCUUCCACAUAUGAUUAACAGAUGGACCAGGUCAGUCUUUCACUGGUACAACCAUCUAUCUGCAAUAUUCAUGCUCUUAAUAGGAUUAGAUAAUGUUACAUGGCACAUAGAGGCAUUAGCCAACUUUACUUAGUGGGCUCUAAGUGACAGCUUCCAAAGCAUUUCUCUUAUAAAUACUGAAAUGUAUCAUAUGUGAAAGGCUAUUUUGCAAAAUCGAAUGGCCUUACUGCAGCCCAAGGGGGAGCUCAUGCCCUCAUCAAAACCGAAUGCUGUGUGUAUAUUCUGAAUAAUUCUGGGAAUGUCUUUCUAACACUAAAGGGUAUACGUCAGCAAAUUCUAGCCAUUUCUAGCCCGCAGUUAUCACAAAAUGAUUGACUUGCAUCAUGACUCAGCACAGAACCUUCUUGUUGGCAGGAAGUCCUGGCAUUCUUUGCUGUUUUCCUAGGCUUAAGUAUAUCUCUGUGCUGUGUAAUGCAUUGCUGCUAUAUACUGUGUGCUGUUUCACAACAUUCUCCAAACUCAUGCCAUCAUGUUUCAGCAGGUGCUGCUGCUGAAAGCCUGAGGCAAAUAGUAUUUCCAAGAGCAAAUGAACCUCUGCCACUCUAAUCCCAUGUUCACUGCCCCCUAACAGUGACCCCCCUCAGCAGGAAGUAGCCAGAAUGAUCACGAUGUCCCGCAUCCCAGCAGUCUAUCCAGCUUGGGCAUGAUAGAAAUGAUGCGCAAAUUGACAGUGGGGAUUGUGGCAGGCCAAUUCUUCCUAACAGUCACACAGACAGGCCUCCAUAGCAUUCCAGUUAUACAUUCAGACUUCCACAGCAUCUGCCUUAACAUUAAGUUAGUAAUUAAACCUAGGGAAAUUGAUGCCCAGACACCAAAGCCAGAAAUGAAACAUAUGUUUGGUAAGAAUCUUGCCCAGGCUUCUCCUGAAACUUGAGACAAGUCAAGAUAAUAAAGAAAGACAGACCUACAUUCCUUGUACCAGGACCCAUCUUGGGUCAGAUAAAUUUAUUGGGGCUCUGAAGCAACUCUCCAGACACAAACCAUAGGUAAGAUAGGACAGAAGUAAUCACACUGGUACCAGGGCCCUCACAGAUUAAGUAGAUUUAGGGGACAUUUCUGGGCUCUGAUAUUUUAGUUAAAACAAAAUUAAUCACCCAUAAACUUAGGCAAGUAUAAUAUUAUACGUAGGCAUAUAGUUUGAAACAUAUAUAAGUACUGGAAGAACUUUAGAAUCUUGAGUUGGUCUGGUGAAUUAUCUCUGACUUUCUCCUUGUACCCAGUUACAGAAAUAAACUCUCUUCUUUUCCA